GGAUGGCUCAGUGGGUAGAGCGUCAGACUUGUAAUCUGAAUGUCGAAGGUUCGAAUCCUUCUCCA
rnacentral:tRNA from 1 species